AUUGAACGCUGGCGGCAUGCUUUACACAUGCAAGUCGAACGGUAACAGGGUGCUUGCACCGCUGACGAGUGGCGAACGGGUGAGUAAUGCGUCGGAACGUGCCGAGUAGUGGGGGAUAACGCAGCGAAAGUUGUGCUAAUACCGCAUACGUACUGAGGUAGAAAGUGGGGGACCUUCGGGCCUCACGCUAUUCGAGCGGCCGACGUCUGAUUAGCUAGUAGGUGAGGUAAAGGCUCACCUAGGCGACGAUCAGUAGCGGGUCUGAGAGGAUGAUCCGCCACACUGGGACUGAGACACGGCCCAGACUCCUACGGGAGGCAGCAGUGGGGAAUUUUGGACAAUGGGCGAAAGCCUGAUCCAGCCAUGCCGCGUGUCUGAAGAAGGCCUUCGGGUUGUAAAGGACUUUUGUCAGGGAGGAAAUCCCUAGCGUUAAUAACACUGGGGGAUGACAGUACCUGAAGAAUAAGCACCGGCUAACUACGUGCCAGCCGCCGCCGUAAUAC
rnacentral:rRNA from 1 species